UAGAAUGUGUGCUUUUAUUUAAAAUGCAUCUCUGGGUUAUUUGUGCGGCCUGCCUGGUGUGUUUGCAUGAAUAGAAUGUGUGCUUUUAUUUAAAAUGCAUCUCUGGGUUAUUUGUGGGGCAUAGGAAUUCAUUCAUUUUCCCCCUCCAAAAUAUAGUCUGGCCCACCACAUGGUCUGAGGGAUGGUGAACCAGCCCCCUGCUGAAAAAGGUUGCUGACCCCUGCUCUAGCAUGAGCAUAUGGCUUUCCUCACUACUGCAGACAGCUGAUCUCUCAUUCAUUUAUGAAUCAUUCAAGAAUAGUGGCAAUACUGUAUUUAUUCAGAGCUCUACUCUGAAUCAUUACCAGCUAGGAUUGCAGGAGGGUUAUCCAUCAUAGUCAGUUCUUAUAAUGUGACUUAUAGGGAGGUUUUUUUAUAGCAGAGCUGGAGAACUACUGAUCACAUACCGGUACAUCCUAAACCACUGUUGUUGGUGGUGUUGUAAAUGGUUCCCUUUCUCCCUUCCAGUUCCUCCAGUAACAUUUGGAAAUUAACAAUAUUAAUCCAUCCAUCUCCUCUCUCUCUCUCUCUCUCUCUCUCUCUCCAGAUUUCAUUUGUUAAUUUCACCCUCACCACCAGCCUUUCCAAGGGCAUAAUCCCCAAACCGCUGCCAUCAGAGGGAUGAAAUUUCAAAGCACCCAGCAAGCAUAGAUGGCUUUUCUUAUAAUCAUGUAAAAUAGUAAUUAACAUGAAAUGAUUAAACAAUGGUGAUGGAUGUCACCCUCUAGCAAAUUUGCAAAGGCAGAGUGGGAAAUUAAGAGAUAGUCAGCUCACUCCCGUGAUGACUUUCAGUGCUGAUUUUAAUCAUUUUAAGUUGUUCUAAAAGGAGAGCAAGAAGGCAUCAGUGAGAUUCAUUUUGUUUAUUUACUGAAGAAUUUAUAGAUCACGCUUUCAUAAAAAGUAUAUCAAGGCAGCACACAGUAUACAAAGUAAUAAUAAAAUCAGCCAAGCAUCAAUAAAGACAAAGCAUCAAAUUAAAGCAUCAUUAAAAACAUCAGUAAUAAAUCAGUAAAUAUUGGUGGGUUAAAAAUAAGGGGGGAAGUCAUGUUCUAAAGGACUGUCUGAACAAUAUGGCUUUCAGAAAUUGUCUUUUAAAAAAGCAGGGUACACCUGGUUUACAUCCAUCAGAGGCCCUCUGGCUCUGAAUUCCAGUUGCUGGGAAUUGCUUGGGAGAGUGAUGCUGCUGCUGCGCGCAGCUCCUGCUCAUGAGCUUCCCCUCUUUGGGGCAUCUGAUGAACCACUGUGAUGACAAGAUGCUGGACUAGGUAGGGCAAUGGCCUGAUCCAGCAGGCUCUUCUCAUGUUUUUAUUGCCCUUGAAUGCCAGGAUGCCAAUUAGUUACUAUAGCUAAUGAGGCAUUGACCACUGUGGGGUGGUGGUGGGGUGUGUGGAUUUUGGCAUUGAAUAGGGUGCCACUGAAAUUUGAGAUGCCAAAGUCCCCCAGUACUGCUAGACUAGAUGGGCCACUGGCCUGGCCCAGAAGCGGGACUCCUUUGAUGCUCUUACCUUUAAUUCUGCCCCAUGUCCCACUUUCUGCACUCCUACCCAGCCGCAGCCUGCACAGAGCCCUAGCAAUUUCCUGAGACAGGCUUUGAGGAUUGUUCUGUCUCUUUAUCAUACCAAAACCAAACAUUAUCACCCUGCUAGAGCUUCCUGCUUCAUAACAGAUCAGCUUUUAAAUUAGGCGUGCAGCCAAGUUGGUUUUUUUAAAGAAACACCAAAAAAACCCUGACUUCAACUUUCUCUGGGGAUCCAUUCCUGCCUUUAGCAUAUGCAUGGAUGGAUACAUGCAUUAAAAUAUAUUUCCUUCCAUUUUUUGUAGCUCCCUUUAGUGCUUCUGGGCACGGAUGUGCAAGACUUAAAGGGGAAGUUUUAAAACUCAUUGUGAUGAAAUCAGGUUGAGAUAAAAUCCUGUUUGGGGCUUGAGGUUCCUAGUGGCAGAGAGUGAGCCCCCCCCCCCAAAAAAAAACCCAGUAGAGCCCAUGAGCUGGAAUGGCUAGACAUGGAUUAGGACAUGGGAGACCAGGCUUCAAAUCCCCACCUGGUCCUGAAGCUCACCUUGGGGGCCAGUUGCUGCCUCUUAGCCUAACCUACCUCGCAGGGUGGUUGUGGGCUUAGACAAGGAGGGAGAACCACGUACACAACCCUGAGCUCCAUGGAGAAAUGAAUGAACGGAUGUGUAUAUUUCCAAUAGCAUUUCAGUGCUACAGCUCUAUAUAGAGCUUGCCUCAAUGAAUUAUAACCAUUUUUAUUAAUCUCCCUCCCAACAAUGCCCACCACACCAAAGGUCGUAAAGGUUCAGUUGCUUUGGGGAUCCGAGGGACUCGGAAUUAAAAUGCUGCUUACAUAUUGGGAUGGCAAGCUCUCUUGCAACGUCCUUUUCUUGGUAGGUCAGAAGAGUUGUAAACCAUGCUCUGUUUUAAAUAUUCACCUAGGGAAACAGAGGCUCAAUGAGAGUUUGUUAUGAGCAGUUUGUUAUGAUUUGUAUUAUUUUCUGGGCUUCCAACUUGGGAGCAUUAUUCUGCACCAGCUGCAGUUUCUGAAUAUCCAUGUAGCACAAGCUUCAGUAUAUGACCAAGACAAUGGCUGCCUGAUUCAUUUUCUCCAGGAAUUGUACAGUGAGAAUAUUAGCCAAAGCUGAGUCCUCCUAGCCACAUUUGCCACUGAAGUGUUGAGGAGCAUACAAUAAGAUUAUCAAUAAGAAAGAUUAACAACAAUAAUUUAAAACUUUCAAAAAGUUAAAGUAACAAUAGACACACACAAAAAGAUUAAAAUUUGCAUCAACUUUCCAAACAUAUGGGUAGGCUUGUCUAAACAAGAAUGUUUUUAGCAGGUACUGAAACGAAGACUGGGAAGCUGCCUGUCUGAUAUCAACAGGCAGGGAUGCCAGCAACAACAAACUUGACUCAGGAGCAGAUUGGUAACCAGUGCAGGUGUAUGGGCGCAGAUGCUAUAUGCUGACAAGGCCUCACUAGUGUCAGCAAUCAUGCUGCAGCACUCUGCACUAACAGAGGGUUCCGGAGUGCACAGAGUGCAUAUUGCAGUAAUCCAGUCUUGAAGUAGCCAAUGCAUGAGGUUUAGAAGCUUGGCAUCCAUCGGUCUUCAGAGAUAAUGGAGUGCACCUCCAGGGGUGAAGACAAACCGCUGUGUUAACAGCACCCAAGUCACCUUCCUGGGCCACAAGCCUGGUCGGUGUGUAUGGAGGCCCUGUCAGUCUCUUGGUUCAAAGCAAAGCAAUACAUUUGGCUGCAGGAGUUACAAAAAGGAGGCGAAUAAGGGGCACUUCAACUGCUUUAGCGACUCCGGAUUUGUGUAGGAUUAGCCUUUUCUUCUUCCAAAGAUAGCUCGCAAGGCACUGGAGGUUUAGGAUCAGAGUUUUCUUUCUCCUAGAUGGGCUCCCUUCCCAGGUAGAUGAGCCCCAUCUGCCCCUCUCCAGCACAUGCAGAAAUGCCUUAUUGACCACUGGACACACUACUGGUCUCGUCCACUCCAGCAGCAUGCCUGUCUUCACAUGCAGGGGAAGUCUCUAAUUCAUUGACGUUUGAGAUGUAUCAGCUAUCCUCACCUGGUUUAGCCAGCCAGUCAAAGCCGUUUCCCACAGUAUGGCCACUGUCACAUGCUGUCAGCUUCUAGGAGCCACAGGUGAGAGCUGAGUGCAGGGUGGGGGCCAAAGGUGGACAAACUACCCCUGAAGGAGCACUAUGGGUUCCUCAUAAGAGGUUCAACGCAACCUCUAACAUCCCAUGCACCCCAAUAUACCACACAAAAAAGAUGACUGCUGAUCUUCUCAUCAAACCUCUACCAAGAGACAGUUUCCAGAACCUUCAAAUCAAGCUGGGAGGUACUAGCCCUCUCCUAACACCCCAAACACUUCCGUAUUGUCUGGAUAAAAACUGGGUUGGUUCAGCUCAUUUCCUGCUUAGCACUGACCCCCAAACCUACAGAGAGAUGGAGCUGGGAAUCUUACAUUUAAAAGGGAUGGCGAAUUCACUACACUUGGCAGAAAGAAACUCAUGACAUUCAUUGCAAUUGUCAUGCUAGGAUACCUCAGUGUGGAUGGUGCUUUGCAGCUGCUUCCGAGACUUUGUGGCUCGUGGUCCUUCCACUGAAGGAAAUAAAUAUGAUGGGGAACACAUGUGAAAAAGAUAUAGGGGUCUUAAUAGACCACAAGCUUAGCAGACCACAAACAUAACAUUUCCUCACAAAUGAAAUAUAUUAUGGUUACAAAUCUAUAUUAUAUUUUACCUCAAAAAUCCAAGAGGUUGAAUUAGAUUCUGGAUACAGGGGUUGGAAGCGCACCUUAGACUCAAAAUACAUCUUGCAUUCCAGGGGGUUGGAAACUUGGGGUCCCUUCCAACUCUACGAUUUUAUGGUUUUUUUAUUCUACUCUAUAUGACAUAUUGAAAACUGAAGGGAAUAAAUCAUGUUAAAUAAUAAAGCAGCAGCCUAAUCUGCAUUGUUUUAUUCCUGCCACAGAAUUAUUAUUUUUCUUUGCAGAGAGUGGGGGGGGUGGAGAACUCUGACAAUACACGGUUCACAGCACUGAUUUGGGGUGGCCAUAUUAUUGUAGAGAGAACUCUGGGAUUGAGCAACAUUCCUCUGGAAUGAGGAAAAGAACAAUCUAUUCCAAAUUUGCACUUCUCCAACCCACCAAAAGUGCUUUUUAAAAGGGAAAGGGUGCAUUUUAAAAGAAAAUGCAUAUACUGUAUUAAUCACAAGGGUCGGAUCUGAUGUUGGGAAUCUCAUAGAAUUGUAGAGUUGGAAGGGGACCCCCAAGGAUAAUUCAGCCCAAACCCCUACAAUGCAGAAAUCUCCACUAAAGCAUCCAUGACAGAGGCCACCCAACUUCUACUUAGACACCUCCAAUGAAGGAGAGUCCACCACUUUCUGAGGGAGUCCGUUCCACUAUCAAACAGCUCUUACUGCCAGAAAGUUAUUCCUGAUGUUUAGUCUCCCGGGUACCAAGAAACCCUAACCUUUGGAACUCCCUGUCUAUUGAUAUCAGACAGAUGCCUUCAUUGAACUCUUUUUGGCACCUGCUAAUAACAUUUUUGUUUAGGUAAGCCUGCCUAGAUAUUCAGAAUGCUGGUGUGUUUUUCAUUUAUUUGAAUGUUUUUAUUGUUUUUAUUAAUAAUCCUAUUCUAUUCCUUUUGUAUGAUGCUUUGAGGUUUUCCACAAUCCAGAGUUGUGCAAUUUUUAUUAAAUAAGUAGUGAAUAAAACCCAGCUCUCUUAUUUUUGAGCAUCUUUUUCUCCCAUUUUUCAGAAUGUGCCUGGAUUUUGGGGAAACAUUAAAAUGCCCUACCCUGCUUCCCCAUCUCUUUGUGAAAAAGUUAAUCCCCAAAAAUAGCUCUCAACGUCAGUUUUUCUUUCAAGGCCUUUCUGGCAAAUAAUACCAGCUGCCGCCCUUUCAUAAUGGAUGAAAGAUGCUUGCAGACCAGGUCCCGCUUGCAGGUCUCCUGCCUGCAAGUUGGCCACUAUGAAAAGGAGGCUGGACUAGAUGGGCUAUUCGCCUGAUCCAGCAGGACUCUUCAGAUGUUUUCUGGAGCUUGGGGAGCAACCCCUGUCAAGCCAAAUGGUGAAUAAUUUAGAAUUUGCUCAUGAGAAGAAAGAAGAAUGAAAUUUGUGUGCAUGUGAAUUUCUGUGUAGAGUAGGAUUCUGUCCCCUCCUUCCUAUACAUGCCUUUGAUACAAUCUAGUAUAAAUAAUACACACACAUCAAUGAUACACAAUGAAACUGGUGGAUAUGGUUCCUCCCUACCCUGUAAAGUGCGGAAAGGUUUUGGGAUGCGGGACAAGCAAAGGCAAAAAUCAUCUUGGCUCAUAACAAGAGGAACUGCAAGCAUCUUUCACCCAUCAUGAGAGGAUAGCAGCCCGUGCAGAAUUUUGGUUUGGUUCUGUUCUUAAUGCAAAGCAAGGGAAACACAUGAAAAGACUUUUGUGGCAAAGAAGGUAUUAUUUGCCAAGAAGUCAUUGAAAUAAAAACUGAUUUUGACAGCUGGGGCUUAUUAAUUAUUUCAUAAAAUUUGCGUUCCACUUGAUUAUAGAAAACCUCCAAGCAGUUUACAGAAAGAACAGAGCAAUUGGAUUGUUAGU
rnacentral:lncRNA from 1 species